CCGAGAAUAUUCGACAAUGGGCGAAAGCCUGAUCGAGCGACACCGCGUGAUGGAUGAAGUCCCUCUGGGACGUAAACAUCUUUUAUGAGGGAGAAAGUUUAUUGAUAGUACCUCACGAAUAAGGGGUUGCUAAACUCGUGCCAGCAGCAGCGGUAAUACGAGUGCCCCGAGCGUUAUCCGGAAUCAUUGGGCGUAAAGGGUGUGUAGGUGGCAGUGUUAGUCGGUUGUUAAAACCUGGGGCUCAACCCCAGAUCCGCGAUCGAAACGGCACAGCUAGAGGAUGGCAGGGAUGUAUGGAACUCAUGGAGUAGGGGUGAAAUCCGUUGAUAUCAUGGGGAACACCAAAAGCGAAGGCAGUACAUUGGGCCACUCCUGACACUGAAACACGAAAGCGUGGGUAGCGAAUGGGAUUAGAUACCCCCGUAGUCCCUGAGCGGGCUGGCAAGGCGCAU
rnacentral:rRNA from 1 species